AUUCAAGUGAAGUUCCGCUACUCGAGUCCUUCUUGCUGAAAUACUGCAAAUGAGCGAAAUGCAUUGCCAGAACACGAAUAAGUAGGCCAAGGAACGGAAGAAAAGUCGAAAAUAGAUCUACGCGUCGUGCACCGACGACUUAUUGCGCAUGCAUCAGCCCAGGAAGAACAAACAAAGAUACAGCGAAUGACUUCUAUUGUAGAAGAAAAGCAUUUACCACUGCACUGUCACCGUAGAGCCUUUCCGUCCUGUGUCCAGCAAAAUACAAG